rnacentral:tRNA from 1 species
AUGGGAUACGAACCCACACUUGAGGACUCAAAAUCCCCUGUACUACACUAUACUACCCUCUAGUAAAGUCAGC